rnacentral:rRNA from 1 species
AGGACGAACGCUGGCGGCGUGCCUAAUACAUGCAAGUCGAACGGCUUUUCUAUGGAAGCUUGCUUCCACUGAAAAGAUAGUGGCGAACGGGUGAGUAACACGUGGGUAACCUGCCCAUAAGAGGGGGAUAACAUCCGGAAACGGGUGCUAAUACCGCAUAGUUUUCUUGAUCGCAUGAUCGGGAAAGGAAAGACGGCCUCUGUGCUGUCGCUUAUGGAUGGACCCGCGGCGUAUUAGUUAGUUGGUGAGGUAACGGCUCACCAAGACGAUGAUACGUAGCCGACCUGAGAGGGUGAUCGGCCACAUUGGGACUGAGACACGGCCCAAACUCCUACGGGAGGCAGCAGUAGGGAAUCUUCCGCAAUGGACGAAAGUCUGACGGAGCAACGCCGCGUGAGUGAAAGAAGGUUUUCGGAUCGUAAAACUCUGUUGUCAGAGAAGAACAAGUCGGAGAGUAACUGCUCCAGCCUUGACGGUAUCUGACCAGAAAGCCACGGCUAACUACGUGCCAGCCGCCGC